rnacentral:rRNA from 1 species
CUUAGUUUGCUACAGUUUGCUGAGAACUUAGGGAGACUGCCGGUGACAAACCGGAGGAAGGUGGGGAUGACGUCAAGUCAUCAUGGCCCUUAUGGGGUGGGCUACACACGUGCUACAAUGGUGCAUACAGAGGGCGGCGAAGCCGCGAGGUGGAGCAAAUCCCAGAAAAUGCAUCGUAGUGCGCAGUCUGCAACUCGCUGCGUGAAGUCGGAAUCGCUAGUAAUCGCGAAUCAAGGAUGUCG